rnacentral:rRNA from 2 species
AGAGUUUGAUCCUGGCUCAGAACGUACGCUGGCGGCACGCCUAACACAUGCAAGUCGAACGAAGUAGCAAUACUUAGUGGCAGACGGGUGAGUAACAUGUAGGUAUCUGCCCUUUGGCCUGGAAUAACACGAGGAAACUUGUGCUAAUACCGGAUAAGUCUUUACGGAGAAAGCUUUAUGCACCAUUGGAUGAGCCUGCACUUGAUUAGUUUGUUGGUGGGGUAAUGGCCUACCAAGACUGUGAUCAAUAGCUGAUUUGAGAGGAUGAUCAGCCACAUUGGGACUGAGACACGGCCCAAACUCCUACGGGAGGCAGCAGUGGGGAAUCUUGCACAAUGGAGGAAACUCUGAUGCAGCGAUGCCGCGUGAGUGAAGAAGGCCCUUGGGUUGUAAAGCUCUUUCGUCGGGGAAGAAAAUGACUGUACCCGAAUAAGAAGGUCCGGCUAACUUCGUGCCAGCAGCCGCGGUAAUACGAAGGGACCUAGCGUAGUUCGGAAUUACUGGGCUUAAAGAGUUCGUAGGUGGUUGAAAAAGUUAGUGGUGAAAUCCCAGAGCUUAACUCUGGAACUGCCAUUAAAACUUUUCAGCUAGAGUAUGAUAGAGGAAAGCAGAAUUUCUAGUGUAGAGGUGAAAUUCGUAGAUAUUAGAAAGAAUACCAAUUGCGAAGGCAGCUUUCUGGAUCAUUACUGACACUGAGGAACGAAAGCAUGGGUAGCGAAGAGGAUUAGAUACCCUCGUAGUCCAUGCCGUAAACGAUGUGUGUUAGACGUUGGAAAUUUAUUUUCAGUGUCGCAGGGAAACCGAUAAACACACCGCCUGGGGAGUACGACCGCAAGGUUAAAACUCAAAUGAAUUGACGGGGACCCGCACAAGUAGUGGAGCAUGUGGUUUAAUUCGAAGAUACGCGCAGAACCUUACCAACACUUGACAUGUUCGUCGCGACUCUAAGAGAUUAGAGUUUUCGGUUCGGCCGGACGAAACACAGGUGCUGCAUGGCUGUCGUCAGCUCGUGUCGUGAGAUGUUGGGUUAAGUCCCGCAACGAGCGCAACCCUCACUUUUAGUUGCCAUCAUUAAGUUGGGCACUCUGAAAGAACUGCCAGUGAUAAGCUGGAGGAAGGUGGGGAUGACGUCAAGUCCUCAUGGCCCUUACGUGUUGGGCUACACACGUGCUACAAUGGUAUCUACAACAGGAAGCAAGACUGCGAAGUUAAGCAAAUCCCUAAAAGAUAUCUCAGUUCGGAUUGCACUCUGCAACUCGAGUGCAUGAAGCUGGAAUUACUAGUAAUCGUGGAUCAGCGUGCCACGGUGAAUGCGUUCCCGGGUCUUUUACACACCGCCCGUCACACCAUGGGAGUUGGUUCUACCUUAAGGCAAGGUUUAAAACCCUUGACCACGGUAUAGUCAGCGACUGGGGUGAAGUCGUAACAAGGUAACC